rnacentral:lncRNA from 10 species
GAAGAAGGGGAAUAGGAUCUCUGUGGAAGGAGAAGAAAGUUUGAGCAAACUAUCCAAUGGGAAGCAAUGAGGUGACAAUUUCUCUUUUCUUAUUCCAUGGCUAUUUCGUGGCUAUGCACUGGCCAGGUGGUGUCAGUAAUGUAAUCCUCUGCUGUGAUUUAAUGGUAAUUUAAGGUUUCACGCUAAAUUUUCUGGUAAUGUUUGGAAAAUACAUCACUGACCGUUAGAAUGUGUUUUAAGUGACAAAACGAUCUCAUUCUCUUUUCUUUUUAGCUUUUCACCUUGGGAAGGAGGUCUCUUUACUUUUUAUUUGAAAAGGAAUUGUUUUUGUUAUUUUCCUAAACCUGGAGAGUGACGGAAGCCAUCCUUGAGGAGUCAAGAUAAACUCUACAUGUAAGCUGAACGGUCACCAGGUCACGGAAUUCCACCGGGAAUGGGAAGAGCCUCUGGAGCAGCACGCGAAGUCCUGCUAUCUGCAUUCUGUGGUUGGAGUGAGUUGGGUCAGCCCACCAAUGUAUUUCCUCAUUAGACAUUGACAAACAUGGAAGAAAAACAGUGGAAGAAUUAGAAGAGAAUAUGGAAGCAGAGUGUGAUCUGGAGUCAUGUUUAGUGACCACAGCAGGGCUGAAGAACAAGGACGGUGUCAAGAUGGGCAUUUUUUCUGUGCAUAGCGAAUUGGGAGGCAAAGAAAACUGCUGAAAAAAAUUGACGAUGCACCUUAAGUUGAAAAGCUGACUUCCACCUCCUGGGCAACGUGGCUCGGGGUUGUGCUCAGCUAAGACAAAACUGAUGUCAACACCAGGAAUGAAGGACAAAUCUGUGGCUUAAUGAAGGUGAGUGAUAGUACCUUCUCAGAUAGGUCACUGAGUACUCCUUCAUUAAUAUCUGUGAGGACUAUUUACUCCCCAAACAAUAUGAACCAUAGCAGUACCCAUAGC